rnacentral:misc_RNA from 1 species
GGAUUCGUCGAUCACGUCGAUCGCCUUGUCCGGCAACUUGCGGUCAUGGAUGUAACGCGCCGAGAGGUUCACCGCCGCCUCGAUGGCGUCGUUGGUGUACUUCAGCUUGUGGUAGUCCUCGAAGUAAGGCUUGAGACCCUUGAGGAUACCGAUCGCGUCUUCGACCGUAGGCUCGUUGACGUCGAUCUUCUGGAACCGGCGCACCAGUGCGCGGUCCUUCUCAAAGUGCUGGCGGUAUUCCUUGUAAGUGGUCGACCCCAUGCAACGGAUCGUGCCGGACGCCAGCGCGGGCUUCAGCAGGUUGGACGCAUCCAUCGCGCCGCCCGAGGUCGCACCGGCUCCGAUCACAGUGUGGAUUUCGUCGAUGAACAGGAUCGCAUU